GAAAUGCGAUAAGUAAUGUGAAUUGCAGAAUUCCAUGAAUCAUCGAAUCUUUGAACGCACAUUGCGCCCUCUGGCAUUCCGGGGGGCAUGCCUGUCCGAGCGUCAUUACGCACCCUCAAGCCCGGCUUGUGUGAUGGGCCCUGGCGUCUCGUUCGCGAGACGGGCCCGAAAGGCAGCGGCGGCGUCGACCCAAUGAGCCCGAGCGUAUGGGGACUUUUGUCACACGUUUGCGGUGCGGACCGGCGCCUGCUUGACUUUUCUGAUUAUCCAGGUUGACCUCGGAUCAGGUAGGGAUACCCGCUGAACUUAAGC
rnacentral:misc_RNA from 1 species